AAAAAAUAAAAUUUGAUUCUGGUUUCGAAAGAAUGCGAUAAAUUGGUUUUAGACAUGCAAUUGAAGAUAUAUUUAUAUUUUUAGUAUAGUGGUGAGAUAAAUAAGUUUAAUUACCCUUAACUUUAUAAUAAAAAUAUAAAUAUUAUAAUAAAAAAAGAAAAAGGAUAGAACUUAAAAAGAUUAUGGUGAAAAAUGAAGGAAAAACCUAAAUUAAACUGAAGAUCUUAAACUGGGUUGAAAGACCGAACAGUCACAAUGGUAUAGAAAGAACCAUAGUCUUUAGGGACUCAGCAGUCAAGAAUAUUGCUCAAUGGACGAAAGUUUGAAGCAGCCAAUUAAUUAUCUCCCAUAGGGAGAAUAAAUCAAAUAAAAAUAAAACCUUUGGGAAUUAUUAAAUUUGAAUAAGAUUUUCUUUUAUAUAUUAGACAAGAAAAAAAGAAUCUUUAGUCUUUGCUAAGUUUUUGUGCCAGCAGCAGCGGUUAGACAAAGAAGGCAAGCAUUUUUCAACAUAAUUAGGCGUAAAGGGUGAGUAGGUAAAGAAAAAGAGUAAUUAAGAAGGAAAAAGAAUGUUCAGAGAUAGGAGUGAAAUCUGUAAAUACUGAAUGGAACCUCAUAGGCGAAAGCUUUUUUCUAUUAAUAUACUGACACUGAAUCACGAAGGCUAAAGGAGCAAAAUCGAUUAGGUACCGAUGUAGUUUUAGCAGUAAACGAUGACUAUUCAUUAUUUUUUAACAAAAUCUUAAAAUAAAAACAUUAGAGAAAAAAGAAAACCUAAAAAAGGUUAAAAAAGAGUAAUUAAGCUAACGCAUUAAAUAGUCCGCCUGAUAAUUACGGUCGCAAGACUAAAAAUUAAAGAAAUUGACAGAGACCAAAUAAAGCAGUGGAUGGUGGCCCAUAAUUCGACAGUACACGAAAACCUUACCUCAUUUAAUAUAUAUUUUAAAAUAUUUACUCUCUUCUGAGAUAAGAAUAUGAAAAAUACAAUAUAAUAUUAUUUCUUUAAAGUGAUAUAUUCAUAAUUUGAAUUUAUUUUUUUACUAGAAUAAUUUAGGUAUUGCACGAUUGUGCUCAAUUCGUGGCGUAAGCUUUCAAGUUUAGUCUGACAACGAAUGAAAUCCUAUAUAAAAAAAAAAUAAUGCACUCGGAAGGGGUGUUAUACUCUCUAAGUUUAUAAUUUCUAAAUUUUUAAAUAAAUAAUAAAGAUUUAGUUAAAUUUAGAUAAGAGUUAAUAGGAUAAUCACAAAUGCUGUGAUCCUUAUAAUGAAGGGAUAGAACUGCCAUACAAAGAUAAUUACAAAUAUAUUAUCUUAUAAUUAAAAAUCUAAAAUUUUUAGAUUUAAAUUAAGAAUUAAAAAUUAUUUAUGUACGAAAGUCUUUUUGAAAUUAAAAGACAUAAGUAGGAAUUGCUAGUAAUCUGUAAAUUAGUAUAUUACGGUGAAUUUUUCCUUGGUCUGGUACAAAUAGCCCGUCACAUCGAGAAAGAUAGAAAAACUUAUAAAAAUAAACUUUAUUUAUAUAAUUCUAAUAAUAUUCAAUUCCCCUUAAAGGGAAUUAUAUAUUAUAUAUAAUAUAUUGUAUUAAGUUGAAAGAUAUUGAGUAUUUAUUAUUGAUUUUAAUGAAGUCGAAACACGGUAAUUGUGCCUGAAGGUACAGUUGAAAUAUUUUAUAC
rnacentral:ncRNA from 1 species